UACGUAGGGACCAAGCGUUGUUCGGAUUUACUGGGCGUAAAGGGCGCGUAGGCGGCAAUUCAAGUCAUCUGUGAAAUCUCCGGGCUUAACUCGGAACGGUCAGAUGAUACUGCUUUGCUCGAGUGCGGAGGGGGCAAUCGGAAUUCUUGGUGUAGCGGUGAAAUGCGUAGAUAUCAAGAGGAACACCUGAGGUGAAGACGGGUUGCUGGGCCGACACUGACGCUGAAGCGCGAAAGCCAGGGGAGCAAACGGG
rnacentral:rRNA from 1 species